ensembl:lncRNA
GUAGAAAUUGCCUUCAUUUCAGGAAGACCCUUCACUCCCCAAACAAUUUGAAAUGUUGGUUCAGGCUCUGGGAAUUCCAAUGACCUACAGACUAUGGGAUACUGAGAAACCCUUGGCAAGGAUUUUUCAGUGAUGGCUCUAGAGGAUUCAACAGAAGGACCGAUGACAUCAUGGGAUGCUGUCCUGACCUGUGCAUGAAUUGAAUUUAUGUGAGAAGCCAUUGUGCAAAGACAUCAGUCUCACUCUUGCUUUCAGAAUCAUCAAAGUCCAAAAGCCCUGAAUCUGAGGAUGGCAUCCUCUAUGAAUACUACUAAAAGACAAAGCAGGAAGAAUCCAUACUCGUUAUCUGAACAGCUCACUCCUUUGUUUUGGUUGUCAGCUGUAUGUUCCAGACAAUUCCUCCAGACUAAGCAUAAAGCCCUCCACUUUAAAAGUGUCCAGUCUGCAAGACCACCAGAAGAAUUCAUGGAGGAAAUAAGUGAAGAAUGGCGUGCUUCAAUCUGCAUCCAGACUCCAUCAGUUCCUUCUAUGGCAAUGGACAGCCUUUAUCAUCAUGAGACCCUUGCAGUUAUUGUGGAUCCUUGCUUUGCUGAUAAUUGGUCAUUGUAUAUUAUUGCUGUUACUGUAUACGGCUUUCUCCUGGUUCUGCUCACUUUUCAUUUUGUAUCACUUCAUAUAAGUUUUACAGGUUUUUUGGUGAUCAUUUCAUUUGUCAUGGCUUAUGGCACCAGAGUAUUCCAUUAUAAUAAUGUACCAUGACUUAUUCAUCCAUUUCCUACCUGAUACACAUCCCUUCAGUUUCUUUGCCACUACAAAAAAAAAAGUUGAUUUAAAUAUUUUGCAUAUAUAGCUCCUCUUUUUUCCUUUGAUCUCUUUGGGGGUACAGACCUAGCCGUGGUAUUACUGGGUCAAAGGGUAUGCAUAAUUUCAUGACCUUUUGGGUAUGGUUCCAAAUUGCUUAUGAGCCAACUGGAGCCAUAGGGAUAAGUGUCUUGCUAAAGCCCUAGGAUUUUAAUUUCUGACUUCAAAUCUAGUAGUCUUUCUGUUAUGUUACUCUGACUUGCCAAGACAGAGUUGGCAUUGGAAGUCAACCUACCAGAGACUUACAAUUCACUGGUUUUUGUACUAAGACAUACCGGAUUUUGGAACUUGGUACAAAGGAUCACCACUCUUGCUUUCAAAGAGCUUGAAUAGAGAUAAGGGGCAAAUCAUGGAUUAAGUAUAUAAGAAAGCAAUGGUCAAAAUGUCCAACAACACAGAAGAACCUGAAUGGGCAUAUUAAGAGGGUAUGAUUAUUAAGCUUGCCAGAGGUUGUAGUGAGUAACCAGAGAGGGCAGGGUUUUUUUGUUUGUUUGUUUGUUUUGUUUUCCUCAGCAUUGCUCCAUGGAAAUUAUACCCUGUUGAGAUUUUGCACAUAAUCAGCCCAGCUGAACCUCUAUUGAAGGCAAUAGUAAAGAGGAGCCCAUCUAAGGCAAAGAAAAGUAAAAUAUCUAUGUAGCUGUUUGGGCAAACCAUGGGGCUACUACUGCAUGUCCCUAUCACUGAAGCUCAGAAAAUUAACAACUUUUUGCAAUUUCCUCACACCUACUGCUCAAUAGGAAUACUUUUGAUUUCUCAAGCCAUACAUAGAAAUGAGCUUGACCAUUCUACAUUUCCUGAUAUCCAUUCUAGCUGAAAGCAAAUAUCUCAGACUCUUUGCUAUAUUUCAAGCUACAGGGACAUAAACUGUAUCAUGUCAGGACUUUGAUGAUUCCCCCCC